UCCAGUUUAUCACCGGCAGUCUUCCUAGAGUGCCCACCAUGACGUGAUGGCAACUAAGAAUAAAGGUUGCGCUCGUUGCGGGACUUAACCCAACACUUCACAGCACGAGCUGACGACAGCCAUGCAGCACCUGUGUAAUCGUCUCUUGCGAGAGGACCCACUUUCAUGGGCUUUCAAAUACAAGUCAAGCCUGGGUAAGGUUCUUCGCGUAGCCUCGAAUUAAACCACAUGCUCCACCGCUUGUGCGGGUCCCCGUCAAUUUCUUUGAGUUUCAGUCUUGCGACCGUACUCCCCAGGUGGUGGAUUUAAUGCGUUAGCGUCGGCGCUAGGGGGAUCGACACCCCUAACACCUAAUCCACAUCGUUUACGGCAAGGACUAC
rnacentral:misc_RNA from 1 species